GUGGGGAAUAUUGGACAAUGGGCGAAAGCCUGAUCCAGCCAUGCCGCGUGUGUGAAGAAGGUCUUCGGAUUGUAAAGCACUUUAAGUUGGGAGGAAGGGCAGUAAGUUAAUACCUUGCUGUUUUGACGUUACCGACAGAAUAAGCACCGGCUAACUUCGUGCCAGCAGCCGCGGUAAUACGAAGGGUGCAAGCGUUAAUCGGAAUUACUGGGCGUAAAGCGCGCGUAGGUGGUUUUGUAAGUUGGAGGUGAAAUCCCCGGGCUCAACCUGGGAACUGCCUCCAAAACUACUGGGCUAGAGUACGGUAGAGGGUAGUGGAAUUUCCUGUGUAGCGGUGAAAUGCGUAGAUAUAGGAAGGAACACCAGUGGCGAAGGCGACUACCUGGACUGAUACUGACACUGAGGUGCGAAAGCGUGGGGAGCAAACAGGAUUAGAUACCCCUGUAUCC
rnacentral:rRNA from 1 species